rnacentral:rRNA from 1 species
AGAGACAGCAGUAGCCGCGGUAAUACGGAGGGAGCUAGCGUUGUUCGGAAUUACUGGGCGUAAAGCGCACGUGGCGGCUUUGUAAGUUAGAGGUGAAAGCCUGGAGCUCAACUCCAGAAUUGCCUUUAAGACUGCAUCGCUUGAACCCAGGAGAGGUGAGUGGAAUUCCGAGUGUAGAGGUGAAAUUCGUAGAUAUUCGGAAGAACACCAGUGGCGAAGGCGGCCAACUGGCCCGGUACUGACGCUGAGGUGCGAAAGCGUGGGGAGCAAACAGGAUUAGAUACCCGAGUAGUCCCUGUCUCUUAUACA